rnacentral:rRNA from 1 species
UACGGAGGGUGCAAGCGUUGUCCGGAAUCACUGGGCGUAAAGGGCGCGUAGGCGGCUCAUGAAGGCUGUGGUGAAAGUCCGGGGCUCAACCCGGGAGGGUCGCGGCGAACUGUCAGGCUCGAGUCCGGAAGAGGCGAGUGGAAUUCCUGGUGUAGCGGUGAAAUGCGCAGAUAUCAGGAAGAACACCCGUGGCUAAGGCGGCUCUCUAGUACGGUACUGACGCUGAGACGCGAAAGCGUGGGGAGCGAACAGG